CGGGAUGUAGUUCAGCUUGGUAGAACGCUAGUCUUGGGAACUAGUCGUCGUCGGUUCGAAUCCGGCCAUCCCGACCA
rnacentral:tRNA from 1 species